rnacentral:rRNA from 1 species
AACGAACGCUGGCGGCAUGCCUAACACAUGCAAGUCGAACGAGACCUUCGGGUCUAGUGGCGCACGGGUGCGUAACGCGUGGGAACCUGCCCUUAGGUUCGGAAUAACUCCCCGAAAGGGGUGCUAAUACCGGAUAAUGUCUUCGGACCAAAAAUUUAUCGCCUUUGGAUGGGCCCGCGUUGGAUUAGCUAGUUGGUAGGGUAAAAGCCUACCAAGGCGACGAUCCAUAGCUGGUCUGAGAGGAUGAUCAGCCACACUGGGACUGAGACACGGCCCAGACUCCUACGGGAGGCAGCAGUGGGGAAUAUUGGACAAUGGGCGAAAGCCUGAUCCAGCAAUGCCGCGUGAGUGAUGAAGGCCUUAGGGUUGUAAAGCUCUUUUACCCGGGAUGAUAAUGACAGUACCGGGAGAAUAAGCGCCGGCUAACUCCGUG